UUGGAGGAUUUGAAGACAUAAACUUGCAAACUUUGAAGAAUUUAAAGACUUCAACUUGCAUACUUGGCUGAAUUUAAAGAUUUCUAGC
rnacentral:pre_miRNA from 1 species